CACCGACUACGCCACAGAAAACGACGGUGAUUCCUCGAUCUACUGCUAAACCCAGCACGAGUACGUGGCAACAAGGAAAUCGGGUUCAGUUUAUCAGCAACAAUUCUUAUUCAACUGGACGCCAAUCAACAGUCCGUAACUCAGGUUUACCUUUGUUACCAUGCUGGCCCCAGCAACUCACUGCCAUUAUUCUCCUGAUCGUGGUCAACAAGUUGCUGUUAUGAAUUGUUUCGUUACGAGGCCGUACAGUAUCCCUGUUUUUCAAAUCUUAAAUAAUUUAAAUAUUUCAAAUAGCUUCAACUCAGGUUGAACGCAAAGCCCCCGUUCUCACCAAAUGACAGUUUGCAAGAAAAACCAAAAAAACAACCGUAAAUCCAUUUUACCUGUUCUUCGUUAUACCCGACAAUUGUUUGUUUGUAAAUAUCACUAUACCUUUGCCGGUAAAUGCUGUAUACAUGCCAGAGAGAAAGA